GCAGCCCCGGUCGUGGCCCAGCAACACAGUAAAUAUAGGCCCAUAUAGUUAAGGAAAAAAAGAGCAAGGUCAGCCCAUUGUCUGCUUCUUAGUCUCUUCUCUCGGCAGCAUGCUUCACUCGCUCGUGCUGCGCCCUAGCCACCGGCCUGCCGCUGUCCGCCCUUGGCUCGCCAGCCGUCGCGGUGCUGCCCUGAGGCCUCCGUGGCGCUCCGCCGCUUGCUCGCUCCCUCACUCACCCCACCGUUCCGCGCAGCGAGACGAGCACGUCGCGCCUGCCUAGCCGCCGGCGACGUACCCGACCCAGCUGGGGCGGUCGCGGCUGUGGCCACUAGUGGACGGCCCGGGCGCCCGGCGUUGCGUAGAUGUACAGCCGGUCAGCUCUCGAGAAGACCACGCCACACGGACGCCGGGACGCGGCCAGGCCAUAGCGGGCGGGCGCUGGAGCAGCUUCUGGCAUCCUGAUUUGUAGCAGCGGCUAAUUACGUGAAGCCUUGAACCAGUGGGUUUCUGCUAGUGGUACUGUGCCAUGGCAGUACUAGUGGUAAGCACGGGAGUCGGAUAAACGUGCGUGGACGGGGAACGACGUACCAAAGGAAAAAAUCUCAUAUAAUAGUAGUAGAGAUGUUGUUUGGAUGAGCCACGUAAAAAACACAGGAAAUGCCUACAUCCUACACAACGAAAGAGAAACAAAGAACUUGAAGUGGCUUCGUUUUUUCAGAUUUUUCUCAAUUUGUUUUUCCUAUAAAACUGAUUGCACACAGAAGUUUCCUAUGUUAUUCGUAUGAUUUUUCAAUGUUUCUCCUGCAAUCCAAAGGCAAAAUCCAACUA